CACAGUAGAACUCUCCUCUCUGCUCGCGUCUCCUUCUCGCGUCUGCUAGGGCACAGUGCCCCUUUCUCUUCUUCUUCCUUUUCUCCGGCCGGCGGCUUCUUCUCUUCCCUUGCCACCGGCCGGCCAGCUCUUCCCAACCUCCUCUUCUGCGAUCUGCUCCAAGCGGCGACGGCAGCAAACGCCGGCGGCUACUUUGAAGCGACGACCUCAACUAGGGUUUCUAUUCGGCGAGGCGUUCUUCUUCGGCAAGCAUCCCUCUUCAUCCCUUCCUCAGUGUAGCUUCUCCUGCGGACGGCGUUCCGAAAGCAGCGGGUUCCAACAGAGGAAGCCGACUGUCCCUUCUUCUCCGGCGAAUUUCUUCUGCUUCCAUCACUGAGCAGUGUUGUGGCUUCCUGCGGAUGGUGUUCCGAAGGCAGGAACUCCAGCAACUUCAGUCUACAAUUCCAGCAGAAGCAAGUGGCAUCUCAGUGUGUCAAUUUACAGUGCUGGCUUUUGAACUGCACUUGCUUGCCACAAAGCAUCAGAUGUUUCAUCUGAUUCCAACACCUCAGGAGCUUUUAUGUACUCAAUGACAUAUUCCAUCUCAACGUGCUCAUUACAAAGAUUCUAGGAUACACUUGGAGGAAUGAUAGCUUGGCCUUAUCAUCUGGUGCCUUCAAGAGUACUGGGAAGAAUGCCGACAAAC